AGUCGAGCGGAAACGAGUUAUCUGAACCUUCGGGGAACGAUAACGGCGUCGAGCGGCGGACGGGUGAGUAAUGCCUAGGAAAUUGCCUUGAUGUGGGGGAUAACCAUUGGAAACGAUGGCUAAUACCGCAUAAUGCCUACGGGCCAAAGAGGGGGACCUUCGGGCCUCUCGCGUCAAGAUAUGCCUAGGUGGGAUUAGCUAGUUGGUGAGGUAAUGGCUCACCAAGGCGACGAUCCCUAGCUGGUCUGAGAGGAUGAUCAGCCACACUGGAACUGAGACACGGUCCAGACUCCUACGGGAGGCAGCAGUGGGGAAUAUUGCACAAUGGGCGAAAGCCUGAUGCAGCCAUGCCGCGUGUAUGAAGAAGGCCUUCGGGUUGUAAAGUACUUUCAGUUGUGAGGAGGGGUGUCGUUAAUAGCGGCAUCUCUUGACGUUAGCAACAGAAGAAGCACCGGCUAACUCCGUGCCAGCAGCCGCGGUAAUACGGAGGGUGCGAGCGUU
rnacentral:rRNA from 1 species